rnacentral:piRNA from 1 species
CACCACAGCGAUGGCAUGUGCCCC